rnacentral:lncRNA from 1 species
UGUAAAUUUGCAUUGUCAGAUUUUUUAUUUAAGAAUUUGAUUUUCAAUUCACUCUAUUACUAUUUCUGAUAGUUUUCCUUUUCAAUUUUGUUAAAUCAUUUAUAAGUAGUGAUACUGACUGAUAGAUUACAAUGCAAUAAAAUUGAGACCGGAAAUGGAGAAUGUGUCAAAGAGACAACAACCCGACCAUAGAGAAGACAACAGCAGAAGGUCGCCAACAGGUCUUCAAUGCAGAGAGAAAUUUCUGCACCUGGAGGCGUCCUUCAGUUGGCCCCUAAACAAAUAUAUAUACUAGUUCAUUGAUAAUGAACGCCAUACUAAACUCCAAAUUGUACACAAGAAACUAAAAUUAAAAAUAAUACAAGACUUACAAAGGCCAGAGGCUCCUGACUUAGGACAGGCGGACAAUGCGGCGGGGUUAAACAUGUUUAUGAGAUCACAACCCUCCCCCUAUACCUCUGGCCAAUGCAGGAAAGUAAACGCGCAUAACAAUACGCACA